GAAAAACUGUUGUGGCAACCAUUGAAUCGCCACAUAACCAUUUAUGGUGACUAGGUCGCCACCAUUUCUUGUCUUUUUGCCUUUAGAAAGAGGAGAGUGAUAUAAAGCCCCAAUUUGCCUUAAACUUGUCGUCGUUCACCAUCCACUAUCAGAUUUCGAAGGUUGCUUCCAAUUUUCUGGACAUACUUUAAGCGUGAAGAAGUGUAAAAAGGAAUGGCAAGAUUUGCACGAGGUAGAGGUAGAGGUCGGCGAGGUGGAAGGGGCCGUGGGCGUGGUAGUGUUGAAGGAGUACGUGAUAAUUUUGCAGUGGUGUCAUCCGUAAAUAUUAACCCAUCACAUAGACCUACACUUGAUCAAUCAUCUCAGCCACAAGCACAAACAAUAGGGAUUCCCGAAGCAAUUCAGUGUACUUCUCCAGGCUUUCAGACCCCUGGAACAAGUCAAAAACAAUUGUCGGGGUCACAAUUAUCAAGGAAUAUGGAAGGAAGUGUACAUCCCUCUUCAGUGAAUUUAAAUAGUGGUGAAGUUUCUUGCAGCAAAUCUAAGAAAGGCAGGGGGAAAUAUCGAUCCAUAAACGUGGAAAUGAAAACCAAAUAUGGUAGCAAAAUCACAGUUCAUAUUCCGGAUGACAUUGAUAGAGCUGUAGGUCCUGGGGCUAGAGAUAUUGUCAAUUAUUGUGGCUUAACCAUGAGGAGCACUAUCUCGUUUAGAGAUGGUGAUUGGGCUACAAUUUUUGCAAAAGAUGGAGAAAAAAU
rnacentral:misc_RNA from 1 species